rfam:Biomphalaria glabrata isolate BB02 unplaced genomic scaffold LGTN_random_Scaffold527, whole genome shotgun sequence.
UUGUAAUGAUGAUACCAUAAAUAUUGUUGAUGUUACUGUGAUAUUGAUAUUGAGCUUUUUAACCCUGAACAAG